rnacentral:sRNA from 1 species
GUAUAGAGAAGUUACAGCAGUUGGUAACACUGGCCAGAGCUCGUCAAUUGUUUCGCCAGUUUCGCGGCUCCAUCAGAGGAAAUUUUGUAGACCCAGUAACUAAAUUUGAGUGCGAAGUAAGCCUCUUCACUUCGAAUAAUUUUAAUGCUCGUUUUCGGAAUAAUCUGAGUGCUGCGGUGGGUGGCUAACAGCAGGGCUAAUGUUGAAAUAAAAAAAAAAUAAUUCAUAAAAGCAUUCGAAAAUGUAAACGAAAAGCGCACGUUUGAAGCACAAGCAAAAAAAAAAAAAAA